GUAAUAAUGUAUUAAAUACAUUACAUAUCAAUACAAUAUUUUAGACACAACAAGAAAUAUAAUUGCAAAGUACAAAAAUGGUAUUUACUUGAAUAUAUAUGUAAUAUAUCCAAAGAUACUUGGCUUAUUUUGCAGAGUAUGAAAAUAUAUAUGUUUCAAAAGAUUGACCUUUGAAGUGACCAGAUCGUGAUUGGUUAAAAUAAGUAACAUGCCAAAAUAUUGGGAAGAUUAGUAUAGGUCAUGAUUUAUUUCCCAUGGACCAUUCAUAAGUAUUGGAGUAUUUUGGCAAAAGUAUGGAAACCAGACGGGACAAAAAAGGGAAAAUGAAAUAAAAAAGCCAAAACUUUAAAGAGAUUUACAUGUAUCGUUAUUUUCUCCUACGACACAAGCGAUUAUUCCUUUGUGACCAGUGCAGACCAAGAUAGCCUGCACAGACGUACACGCUGAUCAUGCCAUGCACUAAUCGCUAUCCAGUCAGUAAAUUUCCAGUAAACACCCUUUUGAUGAACAAGUGGAACUGCCCAGAUUGGAUAAUAGACCAUUCUGUUUUAGACACUUACCGGGGUAAAGUUUAAGAACAAACUACAGACAACUCGUUUUUGUCAGCGUAAUGGUCAUUCAUGGCGAAUGGAAUAAAAAGAGAGUGUUGUGUAUCUAUCAUUCCCCUUUUGCGUUUCUUUUCCUUAACUUCUUGUUUACUGACCAAGUUUUGAGACAACUUGUCAAUAAGUUGUUUAUAUUCUAUGUUGUUUCAGAAUGUUCUACCAUAAUCUGAUAAAUAGAGUGUUACAAUUACUUUAAAAGUCUGGAUUGUUCUUGUUUUUUUUCCAGAAACUAAGAAUUAUUUUUAUUCUUGGUAAUACUUGAAAGUUCUGGAACCUUCCAUGAUACUUUAAAUAGCAAGCUAUCUGAGGACAGGGUAGAACCUACGUUAAAGAACUUAUUGAAAACUUUCCUGUAUGUCUUAAUAACAAAAUAUUACCAGUUUGGACAUUUAACAUUUGAAGGAUUUACAUAAACAUUGUGGAUUUAAACAUUUUCCUUUGAAGAUAGGAUUUGUGUUCUUAGGGCAUUCUGAAUUCAGUUUGGAUUUGUGAAUAAUUUGGAGUUGGUCAGGAAUUGGACUUUCUUGCAUAUUAGAAUGGACUUUGCGAUACCGAGACGAAACUAUGGUGCUUUACUUACUGAUUAAAGCCUCUGAUGAUUUUCACAAUGUGCAUAAAUUUUGCCUUUCGUUUCAAAAUAUUUCUGUUUGAUGCUGCCAUUCAGUAAAUGGCUCCAGUGCGCUUAUGAACUACGGCUAUCACGACAAAAAAGGUUACUGAACACUACUUACAGACGGAAAACAGUCGUGUCAGAAUCAUCUACAAUACUUUAAAAAUGACAAGUCAAGAUUUAAAACUGUCUUAAUGCUGGCAUUACUAGUAGCAUUUUGACGCUAGAAGCAUCUGAAUUUCACUGUGCGUUCGGGCUCAGCAUGUUAACAAUGUUUCAAUCAUAUACUCCGGUAGCAGAGAGCUAAACUUGUAGCAGAGAGCCAGACUUGUUGUGUAACUGUCCAGAAUAUUUCGCCGGACACGCAUUGCAUGAUACCUCAACACAACAUUGCCAAGUCCCAUUAUAAUGACAACGAAAAACAUUUUAACGCUGAACACCAAGCAAAGAAGCUACUGGUACCUUUUAAAUAAAGUAUUUGGUAUGUGCCAAGGAACAAACUUCGGGAGGUGCAAGGUGGACGCUCUUCCACCGAACCAGCGCUGCGGCUUUCUUAUUAAAUAUUUCAUAACUUUUUGUUUCCCAGAAAACAUAUCUGGCACAA
rnacentral:lncRNA from 1 species